GAUGAACGCUAGCUCCAGGCUUAACACAUGCAAGUCGAGGGGAAACGACAUCGAAAGCUUGCUUUUGAUGGGCGUCGACCGGCGCACGGGUGAGUAACGCGUAUCCAACCUGCCCACCACUUGGGGAUAACCUUGCGAAAGUAAGACUAAUACCCAAUGACGUCUCUAGAAGACAUCUGAAAGAGAUUAAAGAUUUAUCGGUGAUGGAUGGGGAUGCGUCUGAUUAGCUUGUUGGCGGGGUAACGGCCCACCAAGGCGACGAUCAGUAGGGGUUCUGAGAGGAAGGUCCCCCACAUUGGAACUGAGACACGGUCCAAACUCCUACGGGAGGCAGCAGUGAGGAAUAUUGGUCAAUGGACGAGAGUCUGAACCAGCCAAGUAGCGUGCAGGAUGACGGCCCUAUGGGUUGUAAACUGCUUUUAUAAGGGAAUAAAGUGAGUCUCGUGAGACUUUUUGCAUGUACCUUAUGAAUAAGGACCGGCUAAUUCCGU
rnacentral:rRNA from 1 species